rnacentral:misc_RNA from 1 species
AAGUCGUAACAAGGUUUCCGUAGGUGAACCUGCGGAAGGAUCAUUAUCUAUUCCAUGAGGUGUGGUCGCGGCCCCCGGGGGGGCUAAACUCCCCCAGGGCGGUAGAGGUAACACUUUCACGCGCCACAUGUCUGAAUCCUUUUUUUACGAGCACCUUUCGUUCUCCUUCGGUGGGGCAACCUGCCGCUGGAACUUAACAAUAACCUUUUUUGCAUCUAGCAUUACCUGUUCUGAUACAAACAAUCGUUACAACUUUCAACAAUGGAUCUCUUGGCUCUG